GAGAGAUGUUGGUCAAAGGGUACAAACUUUUAGUUAGGAUGAGUAAGUUCUGGAGACCUAAGACUUGGUGUGACAUUUGGAUAAAGGUUUUGUUUCUGCUUGUCCAGCACCAUUUAUUGAAAGGUCAUCCUUCUUUUAUUGAUGGGUGAAAUGGAUGAAGAUGAUCAAAAGAAACCACACUGAGGCCUACUUGCAGAGUGAAGGUAGUGGAAGAGAGCAUGAUGACCAUUUGAGAAUCAACUGGGGUCUGGAAGACAAUGGCAGAGAAGGGGGCAAGACUCACAGCUAACCCAGGUGGUGAGCCCCUGAAUUGUACUAAUUAACAAAGGCUCUGAUUAGAGGCAAUUGGUUUCCUUCCUGCUACUGAAAAUGUCAAAAAGCAAGGCUGCCUCUGGAUGGACCUAAUUUGUGAUGAUUCCAGUUGGUUCUAAAGUGGGAUUCUGAUUGAACAGUACUGGACAUCAGACAUAGCUUCACAAGGUCAAGCUGACAUGGUGUUUUUUAAAACUAUGGGCCUCCUUCUCAUCAAUUCACUGUCCACUAUUAGAUAAAAAGCAUGCCAACACAUGAUAAUUUUCAAGAUAGUCCCUCUCUUCCUUGGGUUCCCUGGGCUGGAAAGAAAGUGGCUUGAAAGACUGAAGUUACCAAGAGCAGAGAAUGAGGCACGUAGAAAACGUUGCCAUAACAUCACACUGUCUGUUUACUGGAAAGACGGCAUGAUUAAACACAUUAUAGAGUUAUAA